GACGAACGCUGGCGGCGUGCUUAACACAUGCAAGUCGAACGGAAAGGCCCUGCUUUUGUGGGGUGCUCGAGUGGCGAACGGGUGAGUAACACGUGAGUAACCUGCCCUUGACUUUGGGAUAACUUCAGGAAACUGGGGCUAAUACCGGAUAGGAGCUCCUGCUGCAUGGUGGGGGUUGGAAAGUUUCGGCGGUUGGGGAUGGACUCGCGGCUUAUCAGCUUGUUGGUGGGGUAGUGGCUUACCAAGGCUUUGACGGGUAGCCGGCCUGAGAGGGUGACCGGCCACAUUGGGACUGAGCGACGGCCCAGCCUCCUACGGGAGGCAGCAGUGGGGAAUAUUGCACAAUGGGCGGAAGCCGGAUGCAGCAACGCCGCGUGCGGGAUGACGGCCUUCGGGUUGUAAACCGCUUUCGCCUGUGACGAAGCGUGAGUGACGGUAAUGGGUAAAGAAGCCCCGGCUAACUACGUG
rnacentral:rRNA from 1 species